AAACAACAGGAUUGCUUAGUAGCGGCGAGUGAAGCGGCAAAAGCUCAAAUUUGAAAUCUGGCACCUUCGGUGUCCGAGUUGUAAUUUGAAGAUUGUAACCUUGGGGUUGGCUCUUGUCUAUGUUUCUUGGAACAGGACGUCACAGAGGGUGAGAAUCCCGUGCGAUGAGAUGCCCAAUCCUAUGUAAGGUGCUUUCGAAGAGUCGAGUUGUUUGGGAAUGCAGCUCUAAGUGGGUGGUAAAUUCCAUCUAAAGCUAAAUAUUGGCGAGAGACCGAUAGCGAACAAGUACAGUGAUGGAAAGAUGAAAAGAACUUUGAAAAGAGAGUGAAAAAGUACGUGAAAUUGUUGAAAGGGAAGGGUUUGAGAUCAGACUCGAUAUUUUGUGAGCCUUGCCUUCUGCGGGGUGACCCGCAGCUUAUCGGGCCAGCAUCGGUUUGGGCGGUAGGAUAAUGGCGUAGGAAUGUGACUUUGCUUCGGUGAAGUGUUAUAGCCUGCGUUGAUGCUGCCUGCCUAGACCGAGGACUGCGAUUUUAUCAAGGAUGCUGCAUAAUAUCCCAAACCG
rnacentral:rRNA from 1 species